rnacentral:rRNA from 1 species
AGCGAACGCUGGCGGCGUGCUUAACACAUGCAAGUCGAGUGCGCGUUUCGUAGCAAUACGGGAUGGCGCACGGCGCACGGGUGAGGAACACGUGGGCAACAUGCCCUCUGAUGGGGAAUAACCCCGCGAAAGACGGGGCGUAAUACCGCAUAAGAUUCCGGGGACCUCGGUCCCUGGACUGAAAGCCCGCAAGGGCGUCGGAGGAGUGG